rnacentral:rRNA from 1 species
UGGGGAAUAUUGCACAAUGGGCGCAAGCCUGAUGCAGCCAUGCCGCGUGUGUGAAGAAGGCCUUCGGGUUGUAAAGCACCUUCAGCGAGGAGGAAGGCGUUAAGGUUAAUAACCUUAGCGAUUGACGUUACUCGCAGAAGAAGCACCGGCUAACUCCGUGCCAGCAGCCGCGGUAAUACGGAGGGUGCAAGCGUUAAUCGGAAUUACUGGGCGUAAAGCGCACGCAGGCGGUUUGUUAAGUCAGAUGUGAAAUCCCCGAGCUUAACUUGGGAACUGCAUUUGAAACUGGCAAGCUAGAGUCUUGU